CGGUACCUAAUAUAAGCAUCGGCUAACUCCGUGCCAUCAGCCGCGGUAAUACGGAGGAUGCAAGCGUUAUCCGGAAUCAUUGGGCGUAAAGCGUCCGUAGGUGGCAUUUCAAGUCUGCUGUCAAAGACCGAAGCUCAACUUCGGGCCGGCGGUGGAAACUGAAAAGCUAGAGUGAAGUAGGGGUAGAGGGAAUUCCUAGUGUAGCGGUGAAAUGCGUAGAGAUUAGGAAGAACACCAGUGGCGAAGGCGCUCUACUGGACUUAAACUGACACUGAGGGACGAAAGCUAAGGGAGCGAAAGGGAUUAGAUACCCCUGUAGUCUUAGCGGUAAACGAUGGAUACUAGGUGUUGUCUGUAUCGACCCGGACAGUGCCGAAGCAAACGCGUUAAGUAUCCCGCCUGGGGAGUACGCACGCAAGUGUGAAACUCAAAGGAAUUGACGGGGACCCGCACAAGCGGUGGAGUAUGUGGUUUAAUUCGAUGCAACGCGAAGAACCUUACCAAGGCUUGACAUCCUGUGAAUCUUGAUGAAAGUUGAGAGUGCCUUAGGGAACACAGAGACAGGUGGUGCAUGGCUGUCGUCAGCUCGUGUCGUGAGAUGYUGGGUUAAGUCCCGCAACGAGCGCAACCCUCGUCCUUAGUUGCCAGCAUUAAGUUGGGGACUCUAGGGAGACUGCCGGGGAGAACUCGGAGGAAGGUGGGGAUGACGUCAAGUCAGCAUGCCCCUUACGUCUUGGGCUACACACGUACUACAAUGGUAGGGACAAAGGGAGGCGAAACUGCGAAGUGGAGCGAAUCCUGUCAAACCCUGCCCCAGUUCAGAUUGUAGGCUGAAACUCGCCUACAUGAAGGAGGAAUCGCUAGUAAUCGCAGGUCAGCAUACUGCGGUGAAUCCGUUCCCGGGUCUUGUACACACCGCCCGUCACCCCAUGGAAGUUGGU
rnacentral:rRNA from 1 species